UCUCACGCAGCAAAUCUUCAUAACCCUUUUUCUCUUUCUUUUCUUCACACAAUUAAUCUGUUGAAGCCAAACUCUCAAGCCCUAACCCUUACCUUUCCCCCAUUGUCCUUCAAAUAAUGUUUGACUUGAUUUCUUGUGAUAAUGAACUUCAAAUUUGAUGAGAAUAAGCUUGUUGUUCAUUUCUAUUUCUUUGGUAAAAUGAAGUGAGUUACAUACAUUGAAAGUGUCGAAGAAAAUGUUCAAAAGUCUUCUAACAAGGUUGAAGCUACUAUGCAUGGAUUAAUGAUUGAGAAAUGUGUUUGGUUUUGGUUGUAUGCACUCAAGAGCAACAUAUUUUCAAGAAAUGUUGCUUUUAUAUUUUUGUAAAUUUUUUUCUAGUUAACUUCUAAUGUAUAUUGCAUGAGAUAUUGAACAUUAUAA